UACGGCUCAGUAACACGUCGAUAAUCUGGCCCUUCGGUUCAGGAUACCCUUCGCGAAAGUGAGGUUAAUACUGGAUAGGGAAGAGGUACUGGAAUGUCCUUUUCCCAUAAACGUAAGGCCGAAGGAUGAGUCGGCGGCUGAUUAGGUAGUUGGUGAGGUAAUGGCUCACCAAGCCUUGGAUCAGUAAGGGGGAUGAGAGUCCUGACCCUGAGAAGGGCACUGAGAUACUGGCCCUAGCCCUAAGGGGUGCAGCAGGCGCGAAAACUUUACAAUGCGCGAAAGCGUGAUAAGGGAAUUCCAAGUGCUUUGCCUUCGGGUAAAGCUUUUGUCGAGUCUAAGAAUCUCGGCGAAUAAGGGGUGGGUAAGACGGGUGCCAGCCGCCGCGGUAACACCCGCGCCCCAAGUGGAGAUCACAUUUAUUGGGUCUAAAGCGUUCGUAGCCGGAUGGGAAAAUCUCUUGUGAAAUCGUUCUGCUUAACAGAACGGCGCGCAGGAGAGACUGCCUGUCUUGAGACCGGGAAGAGGGUGGAGUACGCGAGGGGAAGCGGUAAAAUGUGAUAAUCCUUCGCGGACUACCAGUGGUGGAGACGCCACUCUAGAACGGGUCUGACGGUGAGGGACGAAGGCCAGGGGAGCAAAACGGAUUAGAUACCCGAGUAGUCCUGGCAGUAAACGCUGCGAGCUGUGUGUUGCACAAUCCUAGUGAUUGUGCAGUGCCUAAGUGAAGACGUUAAGCUCGCCACCUGGGAAGUACAGCCGCAAGACUGAAACUUAAAGGAAUUGGCGGGGGCUCACUACAAGGGGUGAAGAGUGCGGUUCAAUUGGAUUCCACGCCGGAAAUCUCACCAGCAGCGACGGCAGGAUGAAGGUCAAAUUGAAGGUUUUACCUGACAAGCCGAGAGGUGGUGCAUG
rnacentral:rRNA from 1 species